GAGUUUGAUCGUGGCUCAGAUUGAACGCUGGCGGCAUGCCUUACACAUGCAAGUCGAACGGCAGCAUGAUCUAGCUUGCUAGAUUGAUGGCGAGUGGCGAACGGGUGAGUAAUACAUCGGAACGUGCCCUGUAGUGGGGGAUAACUAGUCGAAAGAUUAGCUAAUACCGCAUACGACCUGAGGGUGAAAGUGGGGGACCGCAAGGCCUCAUGCUAUAGGAGCGGCCGAUGUCUGAUUAGCUAGUUGGUGGGGUAAAGGCCCACCAAGGCGACGAUCAGUAGCUGGUCUGAGAGGACGAUCAGCCACACUGGGACUGAGACACGGCCCAGACUCCUACGGGAGGCAGCAGUGGGGAAUUUUGGACAAUGGGCGAAAGCCUGAUCCAGCAAUGCCGCGUGUGUGAAGAAGGCCUCGGUGUAAG
rnacentral:rRNA from 1 species